CCCACAAACCAUCGCGAACGCUACCCAGACGUCGUUGCUUCGGCGGGCUCGCCCGCCGGGGGGACGCCACCAGACUCUUGCAGUUAUUCGGCCUCUCUGAGUAUGAUUUUUUAAAUGAGUCAAAACUUUCAACAACGGAUCUCUUGGUUCUGGCAUCGAUGAAGAACGCAGCGAAAUGCGAUAAGUAAUGUGAAUUGCAGAAUUCAGUGAAUCAUCGAAUCUUUGAACGCACAUUGCGCCCGCCAGUAUUCUGGCGGGCAUGCCUGUUCGAGCGUCAUUUCAACCUUCAAGCCCUGCUUGUGUUGGGGCCCUGCGGCUGCCCGCAGGCCCUGAAAACCAGUGGCGGGCUCGCUAGUCACACCGAGCGCAGUAGCAUAUCUCGCUCAGGGCGUGCGGCGGGUUCUUGCCGUUAAACACCCCCCCUUCCACAGGUUGACCUCGGAUCAGGUAGGAAUACCCGCUGAACUUAAGCAUAUCAAUAAGCGGAGGAA
rnacentral:rRNA from 1 species